GAGAAGGAGGGAUUGUUUAGUGACAGCUUUCGGGGACCCGCCCGCCGUGACAGCGGCAGCAGCGGCGUCGACUUGUGCGGCUCUGACAACUCCCUCCGCUACAAAUAACCCCCCCCCCCUCUCCCGAAGCAUAGCCCAUUAAAGCCUCCCGGCCCGGCUCUUUUUGACGGAAUAACUUCUCACACAACUUAAUGAAGUGCUCGCUCAUUGUUGUGCCCAGGACUGCUACUGUGGCUUUCCGCGUCAGAGCAGCAACAGAGAUGUAAACGCCAAAUUGCACUACCGCAUCUUCCUCUUCAUAUGCUUCUGACAUAACGAGGAGCCGAGAAGUGACAGAGAGGAAGAUGGAGGUCCAAAGUGGCGUUCAGGAGCCAGAGCCCUGCCCACUGGACUCUCCUCAGUCGGUGGCCAGUCAGCAGAAUGAAGCGAAAGACGGACAGAUGGAUACGAGUGGCCGGACGUCCGCUGACGACCAAAGCAAGGACACACACCCGGCAAGCCAGAGAGAUGACAAAAAAUUGUAGCCGCACGGCCGUCUGGCUGCAGGAGCUCAAAUAGCAUCCCAGCAUCCCAUCGAUUUCAGCCUCCAUCUCCGGAUAUCAGUGCCUUGAAGGAGCAGUCCCAGUCUGCCUCAACUCUCCACAGGUUGAUCAUUACACCAAUGUACCUGAUCGACAAGUGUCCAGUUGGUUAUUAAAUUGGAAAAAUAAAAAUGCCCUGUGGACAUG